rnacentral:tRNA from 1 species
UGGCUCAGUGGUUAGAGCACUGACUGCUCUUCCAGAGGUCCUGAGUUCAAUUCUCAG